AGUGAACGCUGGCGGUAGGCCUAACACAUGCAAGUCGAACGGCAGCACAGUAAGAGCUUGCUCUUACGGGUGGCGAGUGGCGGACGGGUGAGGAAUACAUCGGAAUCUACUUUUUCGUGGGGGAUAACGUAGGGAAACUUACGCUAAUACCGCAUACGACCUACGGGUGAAAGCAGGGGAUCUUCGGACCUUGCGCGAUUGAAUGAGCCGAUGUCGGAUUAGCUAGUUGGCGGGGUAAAGGCCCACCAAGGCGACGAUCCGUAGCUGGUCUGAGAGGAUGAUCAGCCACACUGGAACUGAGACACGGUCCAGACUCCGACGGGAGGCAGCAGUGGGGAAUAGUGGAAAGUGGGCGCAAGCCUGAUCCAGCCAUACCGCGUGGGUGAAGAAGGCCUGCGGGUUGUAAAGCCCUUUUGUUGGGAAAGAAAAGCAGCAGGUGAAUACCCCGCUGUUCUGACGGUACCCAAAGAAUAAGCACCGGCUAACUUCGU
rnacentral:rRNA from 1 species